GCAAAACAGAGAAUGCCCUGUGUGGAAAGGGUCACAUCCCCCAAGAAACAGAGGCUCAUCCAAGCACUGAAAUACCAGACAGAUGGAGGAACCUUUCAGGGGAAUAUACAGAGGGGAAUACAAGGAGUGAAAAUGGAAGGUGGCUCUUCUCCAGACAUCCAGAGAGAACAUUCUGCCUCCGCUGUGGCUCUCCUCUUUCCAUCCUUCCUAUGAAUUUUAUUUGCUUGCCCACUGGAGAAAAGGAAUAGGUAAGAAAAGCCUAAUUGAGGCAAGAUUAAUACAGUUCCACUGAGAAUAAGGGAAAGAUUUGUUCUCUCCCUCCCUUCUACAUAUGUCUUGCUGUGGACUCUGCCUCGCCUAACAUAUGUACCUUUGUUCAUUUAUUUCCUGCUGGUCACCUGGGAGAAGCCUUUCUCAUGGAAUUUAUUGCCUUGGCUGCCUUGUUUCUGUCCAUGCUCACACAGAAGAAGGCAGCUGUCCUUUGCUUUUUGAUGUACAAGCUGCCCUUGGCAUUUUACAACUUCACAUCUUGCCAAACACAAAACUCCUGAAACCAAGUGCUUUUGGGGUGGUGUGAGUGAUGCUCCUGGUCCUGCUUCCCAAACUGCUCCAAAGCUGCCACAGACAGGGUGGGGACCAAAGGUACAUUUGAAAAGCUCUCAGUGUUUCAGCUCUGCUUGCCAAAUGAAUCUUUUCAUGCCUUUUGCUUCCCUUUCUCUAAAGUACAAGUUUUCACUUACAGUCACUGCUAUCACCUUUUCCUUCUUCUCUUAGCCCAUGCCUGGGAAUGAAGGGAAUGCUGUUGAACAGAGCAAGGAAAUGAAAACAGCAAUAUUUAUCUUGCUCUACUGUGGCUUUCAUUUCCUUCAAAGUCAGGCUGCUUUUUAACCUGCAGUUCUCUUUUUUUAGCCUGAGCUUGUGGUUUUGGGGGCAUCUACUCAAAGUGUUUUUAUUAAGUUCUCAAUUGUCACUUCCUUCAGUGUAAUUCUAUUUUCUCUCACACCUCAUGUUCCUUAAAAUUGGUUUUGGCUUGUGGAACUGUCUCUUAAACACCAACUAAAAUAUACUGUUAUUUAGUGCUGGAAAUGGCUUCUUGUGUUUGGGGACUCUCCUGUAGAAAAUCCUUUUUGUAGAAAUCCUGAGGCUGCCAUCAAACUACAGUUAGUUCCUUGUUCCUCCACUUUGUGCUCAAGGAUGUUCUUGUUGGAGAAACUGAGGGUCAGUUCCUCUUUGUGCUUCGGUUUGUAGGGGCUUUGUUCAAGACAGCGAGUGUCCAGAUUGUUGUCACCAUGAUUACCUAAGUUUUUUAUAUUUACUGAUGUUACUUCCCUUUUACCCAUUUGCUUCUGGCUCCAAGCAGUGAUUUAACCUUUAAUUCAUAAAGAACAAAAGCAACCAAACCAGCUCCCAAACGCUACCAGAUGCAAGUGCUGGUGGCUCACAUGGAUACAGGCUAACCAAUAUAAAAUUCCAAAUGUUUUUAUUUAUCUGCUGCAAUGCAUUUCAGUCACAUGUUUCCUUGUGCUAAGCAGCUCCUUGAUGUUUCUCUUGUCAUCUUGAUUCCUGCUAAGUGAUUC
ensembl:lncRNA